rnacentral:rRNA from 1 species
UACGUAGGGGGCAAGCGUUGUCCGGAAUCAUUGGGCGUAAAGAGCGUGUAGGCGGCCCGGUCAGUCCGCCGUGAAAGUCCAGGGCUCAACCCUGGAAUGCCGGUGGAUACUGCCGGGCUGGAGUCCGGAAGAGGCGAGUGGAAUUCCUGGUGUAGCGGUGAAAUGCGCAGAUAUCAGGAGGAACACCCGUAGCGAAGGCGGCACUCUGGGCCGAUACUGACACUGAGGCGCGAAAGCGUGGGGAGCGAACAGG